AACGCUAGCUACAGGCUUAACACAUGCAAGUCGAGGGGAAACGACAUCGAAAGCUUGCUUUUGGUGGGCGUCGACCGGCGCACGGGUGAGUAACGCGUAUCCAACCUGCCCACCACUUGGGGAUAACCUUGCGAAAGUAAGACUAAUACCCAAUGAUAUCCCACGAAGGCAUCCGAAUGGGAUUAAAGAUUUAUCGGUGGUGGAUGGGGAUGCGUCUGAUUAGCUUGUUGGCGGGGUAACGGCCCACCAAGGCAACGAUCAGUAGGGGUUCUGAGAGGAAGGUCCCCCACAUUGGAACUGAGACACGGUCCAAACUCCUACGGGAGGCAGCAGUGAGGAAUAUUGGUCAAUGGGCGAGAGCCUGAACCAGCCAAGUAGCGUGCAGGAUGACGGCCCUAUGGGUUGUAAACUGCUUUUAUAAGGGAAUAAAGUGGGUCACGUGUGACUUUUUGCAUGUACCUUAUGAAUAAGGACCGGCUAAUUCCGUGCCAGCAGCCGCGGUAAUACGGAAGGUCCGGGCGUUAUCCGGAUUUAUUGGGUUUAAAGGGAGCGUAGGCCGGAGAUUAAGCGUGUUGUGAAAUGUAGUGGCUCAACCUCUGCACUGCAGCGCGAACUGGUCUUCUUGAGUACGCACAACGUGGGCGGAAUUCGUGGUGUAGCGGUGAAAUGCUUAGAUAUCACGAAGAACUCCGAUUG
rnacentral:rRNA from 1 species